rnacentral:tRNA from 1 species
GGGGAUUUAGCUCAGUGGUAAAGCACUUGCCUAGCAAGCACAAGGCCCUGGGUUCGGUUCCCAGCUCCG